AGCGAACGCUGGCGGCGUACCUAACACAUGCAAGUCGAGCGAGAAAAGGGGAGCAAUCUCCUGAGUAAAGCGGCGCACGGGUGAGUAACACGUGGGUAAUCUGCCUUGGAGUGGGGAAUAACACCGGGAAACCGGUGCUAAUACCGCAUACGAUGACGAGAUCUGCGGAUUUUGUCAUGAAAGGAGCAAUUCGCUCCAAGAGGAGCCCGCGGCUGAUUAGCUAGUUGGUGAGGUAAUGGCUCACCAAGGCAACGAUCAGUAGCCGGUCUGAGAGGACGGUCGGCCACACUGGAACUGAGACACGGUCCAGACUCCUACGGGAGGCAGCAGUGGGGAAUUUUUGGCAAUGGGCGAAAGCCUGACCAAGCAACGCCGCGUGGAUGAUGAAGUAUCUCGGUACGUAAAUCCUUUCGACAGGGACGAAAGCCGCAAGGUUUGACGGUACCUGUAGAAGAAGCCCCGGCUAACUCCGUGCCA
rnacentral:rRNA from 1 species